AUUAUUUUUAUGUGAACAUAAGAAUUAAAUGUUUUAAACUGAAUUAUAAGAUUGUUGUAAAAAAAGAGAGAGCAGCAUUGUAAUGGCUGUAUAGUGUUCAACUGAGUGAAUAUGUUAUUUUCCUCUGCUAGUGGUUUUAUAGAUUGAAUCAAAUUUUGAAUACUUACAAGUAAUUCAUAAUUUUUUCUCCAAAUUUUAGAUUAUUUGAAUUUCUUCAUCAAACAAGUCUCAGAUGGGCAUUUAUAACAAAGUACACAAAAAAGGGGUAUAUCACACCUACGUAACCACUACGGUUCAAUUUACAAGUUAUAUUGUUGAAAAGAUUAUAGAUAGGUCUUGUGGUACCAGCUACCUGAAAAGUUGUGGCAGGUGGAUCACUUGAACCCAGAAGUUUGAGGCUAUAGUGAGUUAUGAUUAUGCCACUGCACUCCAGCCUGGCCAACAGAGUGAGACUCAUCUCUCAAAAAAAUAUUAUAGCAUGUUCUUAAGAAAGUACAUAAUCAAAAAACAGGUACACACUCUCCUUUCAACCUAUUCUUAUAGUCAAUUAUUAUAAGUGCAAAAAGUUACUUAAUUUUAUGAGAUUUAUAAGUUCUUUCUCAUAAGGGCAAAAUAUCAGACUCAUAAGCACCUAGAACAGUGCCUGCCAUUGAGUAGUUGGUGAAAAUUUAUUAGAUGAAUAAACUUAACUGAUUAAGAUAUCUUUUGCUCAUUUCAUUCUGGUCUUGCUAUAGAAUGCAUUGAGAGAGUGGAGGGAAAAUAGUGGAAAUGGAAUCCAUGACCAUUUUGUGGCUACCCUUCAGCAAUGUGUUUGCUUGUCAAAGCAAUAAGUAAUAGAAAUAUUUAAAAUUUUAGCUUUUUAAUACUUGAGUGAAAUUCAGCGAGCAUUUAUCUAAUUGACAACAUACUCAACUUACAGAGGAGAAAACAACCAGGGAGCUAAUUAUAGCCUCAGACUGACACAGAAAAGACCUAGAAGUAUGGCCCGGGGCUUCCUCAUUCUGCAUUACAUAUUGCCAUGCUUGCAAUGGAACACACAUAUUUUAAUAAAGUCAGUCUCCAAAACCCAUAAUUUUCCUACUUUAUUGAACAAAUGUAGAAUUUUACUUUAAUGAAAACAUGUAUCUAAUUGAAGGUUGAAAUUCAGCCAAGUUUUUCAUUGUUAAUAAUUAGCAGCAGAGUUUGUGGGCGUUGGAUUGGGUGUUUUCCCUCAUUUUGUUGGCACAGUUAUUACUAGGGUUUUUCUUGGGCUGACAUGUUUUAUUAACAUCAGCAGAGCACUCAAGAUUUUCACAGUCAUUCAUGGAACCACUAGAUUCUAGACACUGAGAUUAGUUGUUUAGGCUUUAGAAGUUAAAUAUUAAGAAAGGACGUUUCAAGAGAAAGGAGUGGCAAGGGAAACAAGUUUUCAGCAAAGAAAAACAUGAGUAAUUGAUCUGCACAGCAACAUUAUGGGUGAGAACAUCAUUGUUCGUAUUUAUAUUCAGUAUUUCUGUUUGUAGGAUGCUGUUCUUGAGUAUGAGGGCAGCUGAAUAGAAUAAUUUGAGACCUGUAGUCGUUUCUUUAUCAGUUGGUAUAACAGAAUAUUUAUGUCAAUGAAAAUAGAAAGGAGAGGAAAGAAAUUGAGAGCAGAAAUCCAGAGGAGAAGUACAUUAAAUUCAAGCAGAGAUGAAGAAUGAGGACUUUGAUUUGUGUUGUAAUUCCAUUCCUCCUGUAUCCAUAGCCAUGGUUAGACAGGAAUUUAAUAGCAGGUUACAAGGACUGGUGGCAAGAUCAUGGGCGUGAGAACUUUGGAAACUUAGAUUGUCAUUCCAGGUCUACUGCUGUGUGACCUCAGCCAAAUAAAUUCACUGUGAAGACUUCAGACUGCUCUGAAGUCAUCUUGAAAGUAAGAAGCUGAUACUAGGUUAAUAGGUCUCUUCUUCUAUAACCUGGUAUACAAAUGACUUCCCAGAACUCAGGGUCAAAGACAUAUUCAGGGUCAUUUAGGAAAUAAAGAAUGUCCUGACCAAUUGCUGAUGUCUAUGAAAAGCAGCAUGAUUAGUGACUGUUCUUAGGUAAUAUGAUUCUUUGACUACAAAGAUUUCUAUGUCGGACUCUAUGGUAAAACCAAGAAUAUUCAGUUAAAGAUGUUCAUUUUUUUUUUCAAUUGGUAAUGAGUUCAAAUUACUUUUGUGAUUUUUAAAUGAUACAUGAAAUACAUAUAAUGUUGAUUGAGGAGGCAUGUGGAGAUAAUUGGACUCAAUCUUAAGAAAUGUGUAAAUUAAAAGAUCAAAAUGGGCAAAAUUAUACAAAGCAAGCAUUUCUAUUCACUGAUCAUAUCAUUGUGUUGAGACAUUUAAUCAGUAUCUGAAAAUCUCCAGAAGAUACAAAAUGGUGCACAUAAUCUUCUGACUGUUAGGGAAGAUUUUCAUGGGAAUGACUUAGUUCAACAUAUUUCUAAGUCAAUGAUUUUCUCUCACCUUGACCUGUGAGCCUAUGAUUAGUAAUUCAUGAUGUCAGUGUCAUGAGUAAUACUAACAAAGAGCACCUAAUGAGUUUGCUCUAUGCCAGAACCCAUUCAAAAGUGGUUUCUACAACUCAGUUAAUUUCUCACACAAACUUGAUAAGUAGGUAUUAUUAUUAUUAUUAUCCUUAUCUUACAUAUUAGUAGACUGAAGAUCAGAGAAGUCAUACAACUUACUCAAGGUCACAUUGCAUGUAGGCAGUGGACGUCUUACCCAGGAUAUUUCUCUACUGCUGAUAGUGACAGAAAUUACCAUUUGGAGGUUCUCUUCCAUAACACAGGCUCUGGCAGAAGCAGCCCACAAAUGGCUUUUUUCAUGGCUGUUUUACCCAGGGGAUAACUGAGGCUUAGGGUGCCUAAGUAAUGAGUCCACUAUCACCCAACCAAUAAGUCUUAUGGCUGGUAAUCUCCAGUUCCAAAAACCAAGGUGGAUUCAUUACUUAAUGCAACUUUGGAUGUCCCUUUUGUUAAAGUAAUAUGCCUAUUGAAAUAUGAAUCCAAUUUAUUACUUGGGUUUAGAGAAAUGGCGGAUUGCAGGAAGUCUGAACAUGCAUCUUGAGAAAUCAUGUGCCAAAGUCCUGCAGAAAGUCUGCACAGUGUGCAGGUCAAAGCUCAAAUUUACUUACUUAGAGAGACAUGUGAGGGUCACCCUGCUUUUU